CGCCUCUUGAAUUAACAUAAGAGGUCCAGCCUGCCCAGUGACCCAGUUUAACGGCCGCGGUAUCCUAACCGUGCGAAGGUAGCGUAAUCACUUGUUCUUUAAAUGAGGACUAGUAUGAACGGCAUCACGAAGGCUCUACUGUCUCCCCUUUUUAAUCAGUGAAACUAAUCUUCCCGUGAAGAAGCGGGAAUGCUAUAAUAAGACGAGAAGACCCUAUGGAGCUUUAAACUAUUUAACAUCUGCUGGCCCACCCCCCCCACUCUCAGUAGCCUCACAAAAACACAGCACUAUGAUUAUAUGUUUUCGAUUGGGGUGAUCACGGAGUAAAAAUUAACCUCCACGCCAAAUGGGCUCAACCCCUGAACUAUAAGCCACAACUUUAAGUACUAAAAAAUUAUUGUUUAUUGACCCAAUAACUUGAUCAACGAACCAAGUUACCCUAGGGAUAACAGCGCAAUCCACUUCAAGAGCUCCUAUCGACAAGUGGGUUUACGACCUCGAUGUUGGAUCAGGGUGUCCGAGUGGUGCAGCCGCUACUAACGGUUCGU
rnacentral:rRNA from 1 species